rnacentral:rRNA from 1 species
CAAUAGAUACCCGGGUAGUCCACGCCGUAAACGAUGAGUGCUAAGUGUUAGAGGGUUUCCGCCCUUUAGUGCUGCAGCUAACGCAUUAAGCACUCCGCCUGGGGAGUACGGCCGCAAGGCUGAAACUCAAAGGAAUUGACGGGGGCCCGCACAAGCGGUGGAGCAUGUGGUUUAAUUCGAAGCAACGCGAAGAACCUUACCAGGUCUUGACAUCCUCUGCCAACCCUAGAGAUAGGGCGUUCCCCUUCGGGGGACAGAGUGACAGGUGGUGCAUGGUUGUCGUCAGCUCGUGUCGUGAGAUGUUGGGUUAAGUCCCGCAACGAGCGCAACCCUUGAUCUUAGUUGCCAGCAUUCAGUUGGGCACUCUAAGGUGACUGCCGGUGACAAACCGGAGGAAGGUGGGGAUGACGUCAAAUCAUCAUGCCCCUUAUGACCUGGGCUACACACGUGCUACAAUGGAUGGUACAAAGAGCUGCGAACCCGCGAGGGUAAGCGAAUCUCAUAAAGCCAUUCUCAGUUCGGA